ensembl:lncRNA
GAGCAAACCUGGAGAUAUUAUUGUUGUCAUUGCUGUGGAUCUUUACUGACUUGGCUCGGGACCAGCACUCCUGCUGUUGGACAGAAAGACAUCAACUUGAGAUAUGACUGCACUAAUGCUGUUGCUGGUGACCACAGUUAAUUCUACAAGACAUGCUGUGACACCAGGAGAGAUGAGUCCUCCGUCACAGAUGGUGUGGUCAGUGAAGAUGGUCGCCUGCAGGUUCAAGCUCAUUGCAUCGCCAACCCACAUCCACUGCCACUGUACUUAAGGGAAGUUAAAGACUUUCUUCUGCACCUACAUUUGGAUCACCUCGAUCCAUGACAGUCAUUCAGGCAGUAAUGCCUGGACUGGAAACAAGCAUCCUUAAAAUAAUACAACAUUCCAGCUCAUGUGUUGGAAUGCAAAACAAAUGUGUCGUUUAAAUUAGAGACUGCACUUGUGACA